AAAAUAUUCGUUUCCAACACCAACGGCGGGGCUUCAACUCGAAGUUCAUGGCGGCGGCGUUCCUCGCCGGUUCCGAGCGAGAUGACGAGCUCCGGCGGAGACUGGAUACGGUGGCGCUGCACCAGUGAGAGAGACAGUGGUGAGGGGAGAGAUAGAAAGAAGGAGGAGUGGCAGGGAGAAGGAGAGGGCGCGACGAGCGGCGGGGAAGUGGAUUGGAUGCUUGAGGAAGGAGGGGUCGACCUUGCCUUUCUGCAGCUCGGGAAGCACCACCCAUGGAGCUUCAUCCUUCUGGUCUUCAGGUGUUUGAGGCAUCGACAAGCAACGACAGGGUUCGGCGUCAGUUAAGAUAGCUGGUUCAUUUUGUUAAUUGCUCUAUAAUAGAUGUUAUUUCUUAAGGUUGCAGUUGACUGCUGACACCCAAUAAGAUUGCCCUGAAGCAGCCCUCUCUCUGGCACAUCUGCUACCAUGCACCCAUUGACAUCUGAGAUUUCUAUUCACCAAAAAGAUGGAGCCGCCUUUAGCAAGCACUGACGAGCAGCUCAGUCUCAGCCGAUGCAUCGACGGACUGAGGCGGGCUUCCAAUAGAGGUCAUAAACAGGGAAUGGCCUUUUGAGCUGAUGGAGGGAUCACUGGACGUGGUGUUCAUGUUUGUGUUGGCAUACAUGCAGAAAUAAGGAGGAUAGUAAGACUUUUUCAAUGAUUCUCUUGGAGGUCAUGUCUAUGCCAUUCAAGGAUUUUGGUAUCUGAAUGUACAAUAUAUAGAUAGGGGAGAUAGCCCUCCGCGUCCUGGUGACCACUGUAUGCUGCAGCGAAGAGCACACUUCAAAUAGUGAGCAGGCAGAUGCGGCGAUCCCAGAUGUGCUUUGACAUUGUGAUUUGUACUUGUCAAUGACGUCAUUACCCAAGCUGUUCCUAUGCUUCGGUGAGUGGUACUUCACUCCCACCCCAUAGAUUACACUAAUUUGUUUGAUUAUAAUUGAGUGGUAUGACCUAAUUAAUUUGUACACUUAGACACACGACCAAGGAAUGAAAAACCUGCUCCAGAGAUCUUCAAAAUAGUACAAUACUAGGUAUUUUAGAGUACAAUUUGUUUAAGCUAAGUUUUUCUUUUGCAUGGAAGCUAAUUUUAUAUUUGAGGUGUAAUAGAUACACAUGCCUGAAUCUGGAUACACUCCAAUGGUGAUGGUAAUACUUUCAGUCACUUGCAAACAAUAAGCUCAGCAUACAAGGCAGAGUCCAAUGCUACUGGACUCGGGUGCUGGUAUGCAAUUUCUUGUACAUUUUACUUGUAUAGGACUUCCGAUUACUGGUUGCAAACUUUGUACAAGGCAGUCUGAGCUACCACUUGGUGAAGAUCGGAUCCAAUAUGUUCAAUGAUACGGUUUCUUUUUUGUAGGGAAACACUGAUAUGAUACAACUAUUUGUUAUCUGAAUUUUUGAAUAUAUGUACACCCAUGGAUAUGUUUAUAAUGAGCCUGUUUGGGACUACUCUGCUCCUUAAAAUUUAGCUCUACUCCAGAAAACGCAAGCCAAACGGAGUAGCUCCACGAUAUGCCAUUCCUCAAAAAAACUAGAAUCUGAGGUACAACUCUUAGUUUUCUACGAAGCUCUUUAGGGGGUGCUCCAAAAAACUCUAGAAGCUGGAGUUGGGGGACAAUUACCCACCACUGCCACCAGUAAGUGGAUACCCCUUCGUUUCUCCUCCCUCAUCCAAUCAAAUAGAUCCUUUCCACCAGAUUUCCCAUUCUUGAAGUUGGAGUUAGACGGAAACCAAAUAUUCUGUUUGGUAGUGCUACAACUUAUGUAUGAAACUGCUCCAUAGUGGAUUUGGUGGAGUGAAACUGAUUUUGAUGAAGCGGAGUUGUCCCAAACAGGCCCAAUGAUAGCUAACAUCAGCUUACUGUGGUUUAUUUGGUCCAUGUAGAGCUGGCAUGGUACGGCUACACUUCCAACAGUUUUACUUGCUAACAAAAAUCAAGUAAAACUAAAAGCAUAGAUCUUUCUGUUGUUAAGUUUAGCUGUAUGUAAUAAUGCAAUGCUUAUGGUUGAUAGUGCUACAGAUUUUCUUAGUGGGAAGGAAUAACUGGUUAGCCUUCCAUAACUUCUAUUUGUAUUUCUGCAGCAUAAUUGUUUUUUACAUUGAGUUGACUGUUAUUUCUUCUUUUUAGUCAGGAUUUUACAUCAAGCUAACUACUAUUUCUUCUUUUGUUCUAGUAGUUAAAGGCGCAGAGGGGAGCAUAUGUAUUACCUUGAUUGAGUUUCAUUUCGUGUGCUGCAUUACCGUUAUAAUUAAGUUACCAGCUGCAAAGAAAGAGAGUCAUGUAGGCACUAAAAUCUGAUAAGGACAAGUUUACUGAAUAAUGAGUAUGCACAGAAGCUUCGAUUCUUUGUAAUCUAUAGUCUACUUAGAAUAUAUAUAACUCACAAGCCCCGGAUCACGGCGUUCUCGUGGAGGGAGAGGGCGGCGGGGUCAAGCACCUAUGAAUAUAGAGGGAGGCGAGGAUGGGCGUGGCAGGCGGAGCCCCGUCCUCCUUUGUCCUCUCCCAUGGAGCGCUGGAUCGAAGAAGCAGCAGCUCCCCACCUCCACCCCGUCUCCUCCUUGUGGAGCAGAGUUGCGGAAGCAUCUGGGGAGUGCAAUGUCAACAGCUGGAUCUGCAGACAUUAAAGUUGGUGACAUAAAGAGAGAUCUUUUGUACGCAUAGGAUGAGGUGCAAACUGCAUAGAUAAAAUCUUGCUCAACAUUGCAGAGUUAGGAUUGAAGGUCGUGAUUGCUAUUGUAGAUGGUUUUGUUAUUUGUUAGAAGUUCCUUGGUCCAAUUGUUCUGAGUUCUGACAACUUAUAGAGGGAUUGUUGUUUCUUUAUUGAAAAAAGUCACAAUCUUUAGUUUAGAAGGUUUAACUACGCUUUUCUUAAACAUCGGUGUACAUUUCCAAAAGCUGUUUGAUAAGAUCAGCUGUGUUUGUUUGUUACAGUGAUGAUGUCUGUUCUUCACAGGGGUGAUGUAUCAAAUCCUAGAAUUGUAAAUAAGAAGUUAUUUUUACUCUA